GACGAACGCUGGCGGCGUGCCUAAUACAUGCAAGUCGAGCGAAGUGGCGGAUGGGUGAGUAACGCGUGGGUAACCUGCCCUUAAGUCUGGGAUACCAUUUGGAAACAGAUGCUAAUACCGGAUACUAAAGGAUGGACCUGCGAUGCAUUAGCUAGUUGGUAAGGUAACGGCUUACCAAGGCGAUGAUGCAUAGCCGGGUUGAGAGAAUGAUCUGCCACAUUGGGACUGAGACACGGCCCAGACUCCUACGGGAGGCAGCAGUAGGGAAUCUUGCACAAUGGACGAAAGCCUGAUGGAGCAACGCCGCGUGAGUGAAGAAGGUUUUCGGAUCGUAAAGCUCUGUUGUUGGUGAAGCGGUAAUAAAAGAGAAAGUCACGGCUAACUACGUGCCAGCAGCCGCGGUAAUUC
rnacentral:rRNA from 1 species